rnacentral:ncRNA from 2 species
UUACUUUGCAGCCGCAUUGGUUCGCGAGAAGGUUCACAACCCGACGCGAUUAAAAGGGAAUCAGGUGAGAGACCUGAACAGACCCGCUACUGUAAGUUCCGUAUUAACCGAUCGGACACGUUAUGAGUGUCACUGACCGCCCUGCGGUCGGGAAGGCAGUCCGAAAGGGGAAUAAGUCAGGAGACCUGCCAUGCGAUUUAAUUUCAA